rnacentral:rRNA from 1 species
UACCAGCACCCCGAGUGGUCGGGACGAUUAUUGGGCCUAAAGCAUCCGUAGCCGGUUCUACAAGUCUUCCGUUAAAUCCACCUGCUUAACAGAUGGGCUGCGGAGGAUACUAUAGAGCUAGGAGGCGGGAGAGGCAAGCGGUACUUAGUGGGUAGGGGUAAAAUCCGUUGAUCCAUUGAAGACCACCAGUGGCGAAGGCGGCUCACUGGCCCGGUACUGACGCUGAGGUGCGAAAGCGUGGGGAGCAAACAGG